UUUAUACGAGUUUUUGUGGGUUGUAGGUUCACCAACCAAUAUGAUUUAUUUAUUUCAGAUUCAGUAUCUUUUAAAAAAACAAAUAAAAUAAUAAAAAUUUGUCGAGUUAUAUUAUUAUUUUUUUAAAGUAAUAAUUAUCAAAAAAUAAUUUUUUUUAAUACUGUUAAUGUUGUCAGCAAAACUCUAAACUCUAUUUAUACUAGAUUAUCCUUAGGUUAACAUGCUUUUUUUGCAAACUGCCAUGCAAAAUGCACGGUAGAUGUUAAGCUACGAGUUACAGUCUUACAGACAACAAUCAUGGAACAAAACCAAGCGCUUGUAGCUUGGUGGUAAAGGAGGUAUAGUUGUACUGCCCGCCACCCGGGUUCGAGUCUUGGCCACAACGGAUUUAACAUCUUUUCCGUUGGAGCGCUGGACCCCUUUCGGGGGAUAGUUGGGAAUGUGGCUGCCCAGAUACCAGAGUUAUAAAAAAAAACAAAAAAAAAAACAAUCAUGGAACAACAAAUAGUCGUCAUCUUUAAAACAUGGUAGACUUCUAUGUAUAGUUCAAAUAGACAAACACAAUGUUAUUUCUUGUGGUGCGUGUAGCAAGUUUAACAUGUUUCUAUUACGUUAGAGAAGUGUUUCAGAUUUUGUAUAAAUGUUACAUGUGAGAGACACACGAAAGAGAGAGAUUUCUGAAAAUAUGAAGUCUCGACUUGUAUUUCACAAAGGUUACAAUUGAACUAUAGAGAAAGAACAAUCUAGAAAUUCUCAUCUAUCCAGCUAUUAUCUUAUCACAACAGCUAGAAAUUGAAUUACUCAGCACAAAUGGGAGGAUAAAAACGGUUGUUUGAGUUUAUCUCCUCUUGUCCCGUACACUCAGCUUUAACUCCUCUAUUUUUUUAACCAUAUGACUAUUGUUUGGAAAGUAGCAGGGCUUGAGUCGGGCCAUCUUUAUGCUGGGCUUCGUCAUCUGUAUUGUUGAUACGACCCAUAACUGUGUUAUCACUAACGUCUCUUCGUUGUGUUAUCAUCACUAACGCUUUUAAACCACAACGAAUGAAACACACUGUUUUCUAACAUCUCAACGACACUGUUGUUUUUUUUUUUUUUUUUUCACAAAUUGAUAUAUAUUUCAUAAAGAAGAGUCCAGCAGUUAAGCUUUACAACAACCAAAGGCCAUAAACAUCAUCCUAUCAAACAUCCCAAAGGAUAACGAACACACCAACAACAAACAUUAACAACCAAAAAACCUUCUUCCAAAAAAAGGAACUUCCAAACUACCUGUACAAAACAGACGAACGUCUUUCACUAUCAAAGAGAGAGUCAAGCCAACGAGGGUGACCAGCAGCAACGUAAGACUGUAAUAACCCCAAGCUGUUGACACUUUGAGCAAUGAAAGAAGCACCUCUAAUGGAACCCCAUGAAACUACCUGCAAGUCCCAAUCUUCAAAAACCUGCAACUUCAAACGCAUUUCAGCCGCUUGAACCUUAAGAGCAGGACAGCCCUCUGUCUUAAACACAGC
rnacentral:lncRNA from 1 species